rnacentral:snoRNA from 3 species
AACCUUAAGGGGGCUUAUCACAGGCUGUUUUUACAAUGAUUGUACAGAAAAAGGAGGCAAAAUAAAUUCACUCGUAUACACCAUUGCCCAGACCCUCUGCCUGUAUUGUGAAUGGGGGGACAUGG